ACCACGGGUACCCGAACCAGCCCGUUUGUAGUUGAAAUGGAUGGACAAGAUUGAAGAGAUCAUCUCUCCAUCCAAUCUUAACCGUUAGUUUUAGGUUUCCUUGUCCUCGACCUCAACUCUGUCACUCAAGUCCUUGAACUCGAUUCCGUCUCCCAUAGUCUCUCUCCAAAGCCAGUGCCUUAUUAGCAACCCAAUCGACAAUUGAUGGCGCUACGAGGACUGGAGCAACAACCCAAUCUCACUAGUCACCCCUCUCAAGUCUCACCAGUCACUGUCACUACAACCAAAAACCAAAUCUUUCUCUUUCUCUCUCUCGAACCCUUUCGAGUUUUUAAAGCACCGUCAUCAUUGAGACCAUCGUUAUCACCAUCACCAACCAUGUCGUCGUCAUCGAAGAAGAUCACCCUCAAGAGCUCGGACGGCGAGUCGUUCGAGAUUGAGCAGGCGAUGGCGCUGGAGUCGCCUACCAUCAAGCACAUGAUUGAGGAUGAUUGCGCCAAUAACUACAUGUUGACGCCACGAAGCCCGACAAGAAGAUCUCCGAGGAUGAUCUCAAGGCCUUGGAUCAUAAUUUGGUUUGAUUCUAGGGUUUCAGAAUUUGGGGAUUCGGUUGGGUUAAGGUUUUUUUGAUUUAGGGAUUGGGGUCUAUUGUGUUGUUUCAGGGCCUAAGGUUACUGAUUUUGGGGUUUUCUAUAAUGGUGGAUUAAAUUUGAAUGGCGAGCAGGUAUUGGGUGGUGUCUUUGCUGAUUCAAAACUCGGCGUCGUCUCUAUGGACCUCCAAAACUAAUGUAAGGUGAAUGAUUACUGAUCUGGAGAGUUGGCGGUGGAGAUGAGCAGUUGCAGGCCUCUUCGUGUUUGAUUUCGAGCGACGCAGCCACAGGUGGUGGUGGGAGCUGCUCUUCUAGUUUAGGACACCGAUUGGACUCAGCCUCAGGGACUAAUGCUACAGCAUCCGCUGCCACAACACAAAACGGUUGCUCAAAAGGCAAGAAAGUGGUGGUCCGGUUAGGACUCGUGGACCUGGCCCGUUUCAAAUGGGCCGAGUUAGGUCCGGUUCCAACGAUCGUAUUUGUAAUAUCCAACCCGACUCGUGGCCACCCCUAGUUUGUAGUUUAGGCUCUCUUACAGCAUGCUUAGUGCUAGAAAUCAAAAUAAGAAAGGUUAAUCUUAGUUUACUA